CCCUUAGAUGUUCUGGGCCGCACGCGCGCUACACUGACGAAUGCAACGAGCUUAUAACCUUGGCCGAAAGGUCUGGGUAAUCUCCAAAUUUCGUCGUGAUGGGGAUAGAUUAUUGCAAUUAUUAAUCUUCAACGAGGAAUGCCUAGUAAGCGCAAGUCAUCAGCUUGCGUUGAUUACGUCCCUGCCCUUUGCACACACCGCCCGUCGCUCCUACCGAUUGAAUGGUCCGGUGAAGCGCUCGGACCGCGGCCUCUUGACGGUUCGCUGUCGAUUGGCUGUGGGAAGUUCGUUAAACCUUAUCAUUUAGAGGAAGGAGAANUCGUAACA
rnacentral:rRNA from 1 species